GUGCUCACUUCAGCAGCAUGUAUACUAAAAUUGGAAUGAUGCGGGGAAGAGAGGCAUGGUCCCCGAACUGGAAGCCAUGCAAAUUCACGAAGUAUUCCAUAUUUCC